rnacentral:rRNA from 1 species
AUUGAACGCUAGCGGGAUGCCUAACACAUGCAAGUCGAACGGAGUGGCGGACGGGUGAGUAAUAUAUCGGAACCUGCCCAAUCGCGGGGGAUAACUACUCGAAAGAGUGGCUAAUACCGCAUACCAUUAGAUCGGCCGAUAUGGGAUUAGCUAGUAGGUGGGGUAAAGGCUCACCAAGGCGACGAUCCGUAGCUAGUUUGAGAGGACGACAAGCAACACUGGGACUGAGACACGGCCCAGAAUCCUACGGGAGGCAGCAGUGGUGAAUUUUGGACAAUGGGGGAAAGCCUGAUCCAGCCAUCCCGCGUGUAUGAUGAAGGCCUUCGGGUUGUAAAGUACUUUUAGCAGAGAAGCGUUAUCUGCAGAAUAAGCACCGGCUAACUACGUGCCAGCAGCCGCGGUAAUAC